rnacentral:rRNA from 1 species
GGUUAAGUUAGAAAGGGCGCACGGUGGAUGCCUUGACACUAGGAGUCGAUGAAGGACGGGACUAACGCCGAUAUGCUUCGGGGAGCUGUAAGUAAGCUUUGAUCCGAAGAUUUCCGAAUGGGGAAACCCACUAUACGUAAUGGUAUGGUAUCCUUACCUGAAUACAUAGGGUAUGGAAGACAGACCCAGGGAACUGAAACAUCUAAGUACCUGGAGGAAGAGAAAGCAAAUGCGAUUUCCUGAGUAGCGGCGAGCGAAACGGAAUCUAGCCCAAACCAAGAGGCUUGCCUCUUGGGGUUGUAGGACAUUCUAUACGGAGUUACAAAGGAACGAGGUAGACGAAGCGACCUGGAAAGGUCCGUCACAGAGGGUAACAACCCCGUAGUCGAAACUUCGUUCUCUCUUGAAUGUAUCCUGAGUACGGCGGAACACGUGAAAUUCCGUCGGAAUCUGGGAGGACCAUCUCCCAAGGCUAAAUACUCCCUAGUGAUCGAUAGUGAACCAGUACCGUGAGGGAAAGGGUCGAC